CACAGUGUUUCAGCAGCAAGCAGGCAUUUUUUAAGCAAUGAGAUUGUGGGAGCCAAGACCGAGGUGUGAGAUUUCAACAUUUCAGAAGGAAUCCACAUCAAUGAAAGAGUACCACAGAGCUAUUUUGUGAUUAUUACACACUGUCAUAACCAUAAUUCUACAUAAAUCCCAGGAGCCUGUGUCAGGGCUAGAAGACUGGCAAUGUUAUAGUCUGUAGUGUGAUCUUGGGUGUCAUAAAGAAAAUUAGGCUUUUGGGCAUUUGGAGAUGAGAAACUGGAGAAAGUUCAUGGCAGCGGCACCAGCCUCCAGAGUGCUACAGAGGGAAAAUACACC